UUACAGCCAUAUCACGUUGAAACACUGAUUCUUGUGCAAUCACUGUAGUUAAGCAACUUUGAACCUGGUCAGUACCUAGAUGGGUGACUGCUUGGGAAUACCAAAUGCUGUAA